ACCGAGUUGUCGCAAGACAAUCUCCCUUUCUUGUGGUUGACUAUGUUGCCUUGCCUUCGGGCAGGAUUAUUCUGAAUCAGUGUCGUCUGAGUAUUUUUUAAUAAAUCAAAACUUUCAACAACGGAUCUCUUGGUUCUGGCAUCGAUGAAGAACGCAGCGAAAUGCGAUAAGUAAUGUGAAUUGCAGAAUUCCGUGAAUCAUCGAAUCUUUGAACGCAUAUUGCGCCCUUUGGUAUUCCGAAGGGCAUGCCUGUUCGAGCGUCAUUAUCAACCAUCAAGCCUGGCUUGUCGUUGGACUAAUUUUGCGGCUGAAAUAUGCGGCAAGUCCGAAAAAUAAUGACGGUGUCGUGUUUUGACCCUAAAUGCAACGAGCUUUUUAUAGCACGCAUUUGAAGUGGUUAACCGACCUUGGUCUUAAAAACUAUAUUUUCUCAAGGUUGACCUCGGAUCAGGUAGGAAUACCCGCUGAACUUAAGCAUUAU
rnacentral:rRNA from 1 species